rnacentral:ribozyme from 13 species
AAAAGAGAAAGAAGAGAGAAAGAAGAAGGAGAUUGAUAAGUAACAAGUUCUCUCCAAUCUCCCGUCUCUUCACAAAAAUCUCUUGUAAUCCCGUCUUGUUUUUCUCUUCUUUCAUCUUCAGUAAGAUGGUAUUUUUUAUAUUUUGAAGAAGAUGAAGAAGGAAGA